rnacentral:rRNA from 1 species
GAGAACUGAAAGGCUUUUUGAAGUCUUCGGAUGGAUAGAAGAACCCCUGAUGCCGUCGAGCCAAGAAAAGUUUCUAAGUUUAGCUAAUGUUGCCCGUACCGUAAACCGACACAGGUGGGUGGGAUGAGUAUUCUAAGGCGCGUGGAAGAACUCUCUUUAAGGAACUCUGCAAAAUAGCACCGUAUCUUCGGUAUAAGGUGUGGUUAGCUUCGUACUAGGAUUUACUCCGAAAGCGAAGAAACUUACAACAAAGAGUCCCUCCCGACUGUUUACCAAAAACACAGCACUCUGCUAACUCGUAAGAGGAUGUAUAGGGUGUGACGCCUGCCCGGUGCUCGAAGGUUAAUUGAUGGGGUUAGCAUUAGCGAAGCUCUUGAUCGAAGCCCGAGUAAACGGCGGCCGUAACUAUAACGGUCCUAAGGUAGCGAAAUUCCUUGUCGGUUAAAUACCGACCUGCAUGAAUGGCGUAACGAGAUGGGAGCUGUCUCAAAGAGGGAUCCAGUGAAAUUGUAGUGGAGGUGAAAAUUCCUCCUACCCGCGGCAAGACGGAAAGACCCCGUGGACCUU